AUGGUAGGAUAGAGGCCUACCAUGGUGGUAACGGGUAACGGGGUAUUAGGGCACGACACCGGAGAGGGAGCCUGAGAAACGGCUACCACAUCCAAGGAAGGCAGCAGGCGCGCAAAUUACCCAAUCCCGACACGGGGAGGUAGUGACAAUAAAUAACAGUACAGGGUUCUUUGAAUCUUGUAAUUGGAAUGAGUACAAUUUAAAUCUCUUAACGAGGAACAAUUGGAGGGCAAGUCUGGUGCCAGCAGCCGCGGUAAUUCCAGCUCCAAUAGCGUAUAUNAAAGUUGUUGCAGUUAAAAAGCUCGUAGUUGAAUUUCGGGAUCAAUACGUCGGUCGUGCUUUCGGGUACGUACUGGCGUCAUUGGUUUCUCCUUUCUGACGAACCAUGAUGUCAUUAAUUUGGUGUUAUGGGGAGUUAGGACUGUUACUUUGAAAAAAUUAGAGUGUUUAAAGCAGGCAUUAGCUUGAAUACAUUAGCAUGGAAUAAUGAAAUAGGACGUUCGAUCCUAUUUUGUUGGUUUCUAGGAUCAACGUAAUGAUUAAUAGGGAUAGUUGGGGGCAUUAGUAUUCAAUUGUCAGAGGUGAAAUUCUUGGAUUUAUUGAAGACUAACUACUGCGAAAGCAUUUGCCAAGGAUGUUUUCACUAAUCAAGAACGAAAGUUAGGGGAUCGAAGAUGAUCAGACACCGUCGUAGUCUUAACCAUAAACUAUGCCGACUAGGGAUCGGAUGAUGUUAAUUUUUAAUGACUCAUUCGGCGCCUUACGGGAAACCAAAGUGUUUGGG
rnacentral:rRNA from 1 species